rnacentral:misc_RNA from 1 species
GAAAUGCUAUAAUUAAUGUGAAUUGCAGAAUUCAGUGAAUCAUCGAGUCUUUGAACGCACAUUGCGCCCCCUGGUAUUCCGGGGGGCAUGCCUGUCCGAGCGUCAUUGCUGCCCUCAAGCACGGCUUGUGUGUUGGGCUUCCGUCCCUGGCAACGGGGACGGGCCCAAAAGGCAGUGGCGGCACCAUGUCUGGUCCUCGAGCGUAGGGGGCUUUGUCACCCGCUCCCGUAGGUCCAGCUGGCAGCUAGCCUCGCAACCAAUCUUUUUAACCAGGUUGACCUCGGAUCAGGUAGGGAUACCCGCUGAACUUAAGC